rnacentral:rRNA from 1 species
AUACGGAGGAUCCGAGCGUUAUCCGGAUUUAUUGGGUUUAAAGGGUGCGCAGGCGGCCAUUUAAGUCAGCGGUUAAAUCGUGGGGCUCAACCCCAUUCUGCCGUUGAUACUGGGUGGCUUGAUUGCGGUCGAGGUUGGCGGAAUUCGUUGUGUAGCGGUGAAAUGCAUUGAUAUGACGAAGAACACCGAUUGCGUAGGCAGCUGACCAGACCGCAAAUGACGCUCAUGCACGAAAGUGCGGGGAUCGAACAGGAUUAGAUACCCUGGUAGUCCGCACAGUAAACGAUGAAUACUUGUUUUCGGCGAUAUAAUGUCGGAGGCAAAGCGAAAGCGAUAAGUAUUCCACCUGGGGAGUACGCCGGCAACGGUGAAACUCAAAUGAAUUGGCGGGG